AGAGACUACGACGACGGUGCGCUCUGUGACGCGGACAGAGAAGAGUAUUUUAAUAUUAUGUAACGUAUUAAGUUUGUAUAGUAGGAAAGGGCAAAUAAAAUGGGAUGUACGAUAUUUAUAUUCGGCAGCAUUCCGACUGGGUGGUCCACACCUUCAUAUCGACUAUAAUAUAUAUUAUAGCCAUAACCGCGUUCGGUCGACCAAUAAUAAUAAUCGUCACCAGACAUUAAUGUCCGCCCCGGUAAUGCACCCGGUACACUAAUCUAAAUUAUCGUCCGGUAUUGAUCGUAAAGACUUUGUUGGUUGCGGUAUGGUUGUCGCCCGGAACAUAAAAAAAAAAAAAAAAA